rnacentral:rRNA from 1 species
UGCGUAGGUGGUCGGGUAAGUUUGAUGUGAAAUCUCCGGGCUCAACCCGGAAAAUGCAUUGAAUACUAUUCGGCUGGAGGGUUGGAGGGGGGACUGGAAUUCUCGGUGUAGCAGUGAAAUGCGUAGAUAUCGAGAGGAACACCAGUGGCGAAGGCGAGUCCCUGGACAACUCCUGACACUAAGGCACGAAAGCUAGGGGGAGAAACA